rnacentral:rRNA from 1 species
GAUGAACGCUGGCGGCGUGCCUAAUACAUGCAAGUCGAGCGAACAGACGAGGAGCUUGCUCCUCUGACGUUAGCGGCGGACGGGUGAGUAACACGUGGAUAACCUACCUAUAAGACUGGGAUAACUUCGGGAAACCGGAGCUAAUACCGGAUAAUAUAUUGAACCGCAUGGUUCAAUAGUGAAAGACGGUUUUGCUGUCACUUAUAGAUGGAUCCGCGCCGCAUUAGCUAGUUGGUAAGGUAACGGCUUACCAAGGCGACGAUGCGUAGCCGACCUGAGAGGGUGAUCGGCCACACUGGAACUGAGACACGGUCCAGACUCCUACGGUAGGCAGCAGUAGGGAAUCUUCCGCGAUGGGCGAAAGCCUGACGGAGCAACGCCGCGUGAGUGAUGAAGGUCUUCGGAUCGUAAAACUCUGUUAUUAGGGAAGAACAAAUGUGUAAGUAACUAUGCACGUCUUGACGGUACCUAAUCAGAAAGCCACGGCUAACUACGUG